GGCCGGGGGCGGGGCCAAGGGGCCGCGUGUGCAGCCUUCCUCUCCGCGCCGCCGGCUCCCUCCGCCCCGCGGCUGUAAAACGCCCAGAAAGCUGGCGCUGUGGAAAAAAACAUUCCUCCUCAAAAAGGGGCAAUCCGUGGAUUGCAGCACACGAAGUUGGAAAAAUGAGACUGGCUGUCGGAGCUGUUGCACAGUUCUGUGAUUUAACCAGACAGGAUUCCUCUUCAUUCCAGUCCUGGGAGCACGGAGGCUGGGCUCUUCUUCAAAGGCCUGGAGCAGCAUAUAGAGUUCCUGAGCCAGGGAUCAGAUUCUGAGCCCCACUUGCAACCUAAGCUGAAGCUCCGGAUCCCUUAACCCACUGUGUCAGCCAGGGAUGGAAACUGCAGAUUGAACAUGCAUCCUGGUGCUGCAGAGAUGCCUCUGAUCCCAGUGCACCACAGUGGGAACUCCGGAAAUGACUGGAUUUAUCAGGACUGGUGACCUGGUCAUCAGUCAGUUCUCUUGGGCCACAUGGAUAGUCCUCUUUAGUGGCCCAGAGGACCCCCUGCUCCUGAGGACAGGACACUUUAGUGAGACAGGGCGGGUGACAAGGAUGCUUUCUCUGUAAAGUGGGAGAAGAGAAAUUAUAAAAGGGGAGGAAGACAGAAAACCAGCUUCAUCCACACUGGUUGUCGGGCACGUGAAUCUUGGAAAAGAGUAAAUGAAAGUUGAGGAUCUGGAAA